rnacentral:lncRNA from 1 species
AAAAAUCACACAACAUGACUACCGAGUUCAAAACCCUUUGUUAUCCAUUUUUUUGUUUAUCCCACCGUACCCAAGCCCCGUUACAACCUAAAAAGACCUCAAAAAGUGUGUGGAAUCUGCUGUGGUAGUGACAUUAGAAUGUAUUCAAAGUUAAGAGUUGGUAUUGCAUACUGUGCUGUGAGUGUACACAUCUAACCCUGAGAGAUAUUGUGAGUGUGUGAAAAGCUUGCAGGUGAAGAGGUUUCUG